CCUUCGUCCAUCGUUGGAUUGGAUUGCUGCAGUGAUUCUCCAAUCCCACUUUUCACCACAGCCGUCCGAUCUGUCAUUUUUUUUCUCACUCGCUCAGCAUUCCCAUGAAGUCCAUGACGCAUGGGGCCAACUAGGUGCAAGGCCCGACGGUCAGAGACAGCCACGGAUGCUCGUUCUCGUCGCCUUCGGUCUCCAACCACGCAGGAUGGUGAAAACCUAGAUCGGGAGUGCCCGAUUCACUCCCCAAUCCUCCAAAUCCAAGCGGCGGACGACGGCGCGCAUGAGGAGGAGGAACCUGGAGGUGGGUUGAGGCGCCCGCCGGGCCGCCCCUCCCCCAUGGGGACGGCCGCGGUUGUGGCCUGGAGUACGUGCCGCAGGAGCACGCACGGAGGAGGCCGGCAGCGAUGCCUCGUCUUCUCGGCGUGAGCCCCUCCAUGCCGUGCGCCCGGCCUCUCUGCCUCGACCUAAGAAACCGGCGAAGGGCGAUGGAGCACUGAGGGUUAGCUUCUUCCGGUUGGAGAUGCUCGUGUGAGAUUGAUUAUUGUCCUUUCUCUCUAUGUGCUUCAUUUUCUCUUGGAUCCUUUGGCCAAAUUUUCUGGUGAUAUCCUCCUGCCCACGCCAUGUAGGAUUUGUUUAUCCCCUUUUGAUUUGUCUCUAUGCCACUAUUUGUAAAUUCCUGGGGAGUUUUGGUUUGAACCGGGAUUGAUUUCCCAGUAUCUGCUCUGAUGCUUAGGGUUGGAUAUGCUUGUUGCCCACUAUUUUUUUUGAGUGAUGUUUGUUUAAUCGCAAUGUUCUUCUAUAUAAACAUAUUACUUUUCUUUCCUGUGGAAGUAGAGAAGAGGACCACCAGAUUCAAGGUGGCCAUUUGUGCUGAAUGUAUGUAUAUAUGGUGCCCAGGGCCUCUCGCUGCUCCGAGGCCACCAUCUCUCCAUGGCCCGCUCGCACAAUGGUUGCUGUCAGUUGCAGAGCAGUGAGAUCACCUCUGACGACUUUCUGUGUCAAAGGGCCACAGCGGCGCUGCUUCUUCUUCCUGGAAGAGUCACACGUGAGUAGAGGAUGCCCUUAUUCUUCAUCUCCGACUUUCUCGGCUGUGUGGUUCAUGGUAUGCACACUGCCUCCUCUCCCCUCGCCAACUGCCCAGCGGCCGCAAAGCUAGAGCAACUGGUGGUGGAUAGUGCGACCGUCCUUCGCGCCAUCAUCCACCGCCGCGCCUCCCUCCCCUCGAGCUCACCUCCGCCCCUGCUCCAUCUCCAACGAGGGAAGGCAAGGUUCUAUUGGACAAAACAAGUACAUAGGUAAAAAUUGCAGAGCUAGGAUGAAAGGACAGUAUUGGGUGAAGAGAAUUUCAGGAACAAGAAUGCUCACCACUUGGACAGUCAAAGAAAAAUGGCGAUGUGAUAUAACCAUGGGUGGAGCCAACCCGCCAGAGAGCCUAAGCAAACAGCCAGCCUGCUGUUUGCCCAUGAAUAUAGUGGAUCAAUUAUUAUCCCUUCAAGAAUCAAUACUUACCGAUACCUUGAAGAAAAACAAAGCAAUUAUGUUGUGUACGAAUAGUGAAAGGUAAUUUGCACCUUCAAUGCUUUCUUGAUUCUAAUGUAUUUUGUAUAUUUGCCGAUCAAGCUUGCUGCACUGUUUAGUCUAUAAUAUGGUGUGCAUUAGUUAAUUUUCUCUUGUGAGUUGCUAUGGGUGAUAAGGAAUGAUGAUUGCCUUGUUUCUUGUACGUAACCUUUCCCAAGAGAGUCCUAGGUAAUUCCCAUAGAAAUUGACCCUUUUAAUUGGUCAUCAUGAUCCUCUGAUAAAUUCCCCAUGCUUGUGAGAUUAUACUUCCUAAGCAGAUUUGGAGUGAACUUACUGACAGAAAAACAUUAGUGCACAUUCAGGAUGGUGCACUUAUCUCGAAAUAAAAUCCAUAUCUUUACUUAGUACUGUAGUCAGCCCUUUUGGUGAAAGAUAGUUGCCUUGCCCAACUAUGGUCAUGUGUAUUAAGUAGUACAAAAUAUUGUGAUAG